UGAAACCCAAAUUCUCAAUGCUACCAAUCUUCUGAAGUGAACAUAGAUGCACAUCCUCAGGCAAAGAGUCUGCUUCUGUCUCGCCAUUAAGACUGAAUUCAUAUGUGAGAGGAAAAUAUCCUUGGCUGUAUUUGUCAUUAAGGUAUAGCAGUGAAGUGCCCAUUUCUGUAAUCUGUUAGGACAGGUUUCAUUUCAAAUAGAUCUUUCACGUCCUUCUCACUGGUACAAGUAGCUGAGAUGAAUGCUGGUAGAGUGGAUGAAUACUGAUGAAAAGAAGGAUCAAGGCUCACAUGCCUUAAUAUUAGUCAUCUUGUCAUUGAAAGAAAGCAAUACACUCAAGUGUGGGGCAUUGUUGACCUUCGAAGCACAUAAAACAUCAUUUGAUGAUGGCUUGCGACAUUUUCUCUUGUGAGGCCAGGUACAUUCAUCAAAUCGAGUAUUUUCUUGGGACCAACUUCUGCAAGAACACAUGGCAUCAGAUUUUAAGCACUUCUAUACACCAGUAUCAGAAAAGAACGCAUGCACCAUAAACUGAAUUGUUUAUGGCUCAUCUGGUGUGGACAAGCAUGGCAGAGAGUCCCACAAAGCUCAACUUUGGUGGACUACAUCCCUCCCUUUAAUUAUCCUCCCUUAAAUAGGAUUUCCAAAGGCCAGAAAGGUAAUCAGCAGGGAAUUUGGAAUGUGACCGGGCAUUAGUGAACCCACUCAGAAAGCUUCUAAGAGGGACACCAAAAGGAGAAAAAGAAAAAGGGAAAAUCGAAAGUGGGGAAGAAGGAAUGUCCAUUUGUUAAAUCAGCACUCACUCAUCCCCCAUCACUUGGUGGAUUCUCUAAUAAUUCACUACAUUUGGUUGAUGAAUUUGGAAUAGCCUUUAACUCGAAUUGUUUAUGCAUUUGAGUGGAGAAGCUAUCAGACCUUACAGGAAACUGCAAGGAGUAAAAACUCCACCCAGCUUUGUA